GACGAACGCUGGCGGCAUGCCUAAUACAUGCAAGUCGAGCGAAUGAUGAAGAAGCUUGCUUCUUCUGAUUUAGCGGCGGACGGGUGAGUAACACGUGGGCAACCUGCCCUGUAGAUUGGGAUAACUCCGGGAAACCGGGGCUAAUACCGAAUAAUCCAUUUCCUCUCAUGGGGAAAUGUUAAAAGACGGUUUCGGCUGUCACUACAGGAUGGUCCCGCGGCGCAUUAGCUAGUUGGUGAGGUAACGGCUCACCAAGGCGACGAUGCGUAGCCGACCUGAGAGGGUGAUCGGCCACACUGGGACUGAGACACGGCCCAGACUCCUACGGGAGGCAGCAGUAAGGAAUCUUCCACAAUGGACGAAAGUCUGAUGGAGCAAUGCCGCGUGAGUGAAGAAGGUUUUCGGAUCGUAAAACUCUGUUGUGAGGGAAGAACAAGUACGAGAGUAACUGCUCGUACCUUGACGGUACCUCAUUAGAAAGCCACGGCUAACUACGUGCCAGCAGCCGCGGUAA
rnacentral:rRNA from 1 species